GUGAAAGCACAAACAGUCCAUUGGUACGGGGGGAAGAAUAUACCCAACUCUGUUGCAAUUGACAAGCUUUAUGUUGAUGACAUCGUCACUCCUCCGGCAGAGGCUUCUGCGGAAUCAAGUAAUCCAGAACUGCAUUGGUUGAAAAGGGAAAAGACAUAAUUCAAGGAAACAGAAGAGGAUCUGUUCUUUAUGGUGGGAAACAGGCUAUAGGAGCCACAGGGAAUAUGGGUGUUGGGCAUGAAGAUCAAAACUUCACAGGAACACCAUGCUUUUUGCCAGAUAUCAAACAAUUGCAUCAGUCUAUUAUUGGUGAAGAUGAGGACUAGGAUUGGAGCCAAAAUAAAAGGGAGACAAGGAUGCAUACAAAGAACAGGAAGCAAAGCAACCAGCUAACCGUCAUAAUAUUUAUUUUGCUUUUAUGGAAUUUUACUCAUUGUUAAUUAUUAAUGAAUAUCAAAUAUCAAAUAUUCUAGUCUAUAAUAACUAGGAUAUGUUUUGUAGCAUAAAAACUUCUUUGUUGAAUACGUAAUGAACUUUGAACUUGAUGCA